rnacentral:lncRNA from 1 species
CCGGUGUUGAAAUUUCCAUCCACUCCCUUUUGGGUGGACUUUUGGGGGGAUGUGUAGUACUAGGGGAACCUAUAGAUAGGAACUGAAGUUGCAGGGUGCAAGGCCUUCUAUGGCUUCCUCCUGAAAUUGCAAAUACCUCACUCUCUGAGAGUUCCUCCUUAUCCUCAUUGACCAUCUUAACACAACACCCCCAGCUUUUGCACCCCAAUUUUCCUUUCCGUAACAAGCCCAGCUGGCAUCAUCUUGUCCAAUUGCUCUCUAUUGCUGUAGAGCAAGGAGGAAAGAAUUCUUUUUUUUUUUCUUUUUUUUUUUUUUCCCCUGUAAUUGCUUAAUUCUCUCACUGCACUUAAAAAGGUUGAAGUGAAGAAAAUGCAUCCCUGCACAAAGUAUUUUGGGCAGAGGGAGCAUGGUGAAAGCAAGGAAGUGGAAUUAUACUGCAAAUGUCAGGAGCUAUGAAAAAUGUAACAGACUUUAAUAUUCUUCUGCUGUUACUGCUGAGAGUGUCUCUUACCUGCAUUCACAGGAAGUGAAAUGCCUUUUAUUGAGCAGAGCUGCCACUGAGCAGAAAAGAUUUCUGUGCUUCCUAUAUUUAUUUUAAAGCUACACUGUGGCAUGCAUUCCGAUAAUAAAUGUUCUUUCCCUACAAACUCUCACGUAGCCUUCAACUUUAAGAUUAGUUUAAGCUUUUAGGAUUAACCCCUAUACCAUGCUCCACUGAAAUUCAGCCCCAAAUGCCCUGCUACUUAUACCUUAGAAUGGAUUUCUGCAUUCCAAAUUGUAACCACCUGUGAUACCUAAUGCUAACUGGUGAUGUGCCAGCAACUUGGAUGCUGCUCUGAAGAUGUAAAACAUUAACCACGCAUUUCUCUGUAGCUCACUUCCCCAUGGGAUUACUUUUCAAGACCAAAGAAAAACCCAUUUUACACAUUAAAAUUGAAAGUAGCAUUGCUGAAAGGGCCGUGAUGGCUCAGAGCAUCUUGUCUAGCUCUGGGAGGGGUCUCACGAGGUGCAAGCAGCCCCUCAACCCGCAUCCCCCUCCUGUCUUG